GCCCUCUUAGCUCAGUGGUAGAGCGCGUCACUCGUAUAACAUUAGUACAUGACGAGGUCAGUCGUUCAAGUCGGCUAGGGGGCA
rnacentral:tRNA from 1 species